rnacentral:rRNA from 2 species
UGCAGUCGAGCGGACGGAUGGGAGCUUGCUCCCUGAAGUCAGCGGCGGACGGGUGAGUAACACGUGGGCAACCUGCCUGUAAGACUGGGAUAACUCCGGGAAACCGGGGCUAAUACCGGAUAACUCUUUUCCUCACAUGAGGAAAAGCUGAAAGAUGGUUUCGGCUAUCACUUACAGAUGGGCCCGCGGCGCAUUAGCUAGUUGGUGAGGUAACGGCUCACCAAGGCCACGAUGCGUAGCCGACCUGAGAGGGUGAUCGGCCACACUGGGACUGAGACACGGCCCAGACUCCUACGGGAGGCAGCAGUAGGGAAUCUUCCGCAAUGGACGAAAGUCUGACGGAGCAACGCCGCGUGAGUGAUGAAGGUUUUCGGAUCGUAAAACUCUGUUGUCAGGGAAGAACAAGUACCGGAGUAACUGCCGGUACCUUGACGGUACCUGACCAGAAAGCCACGGCUAACUACGUGCCAGCAGCCGCGGUAAUACGUAGGUGGCAAGCGUUGUCCGGAAUUAUUGGGCGUAAAGCGCGCGCAGGCGGUUCCUUAAGUCUGAUGUGAAAGCCCCCGGCUCAACCGGGGAGGGUCAUUGGAAACUGGGGAACUUGAGUGCAGAAGAGAAGAGUGGAAUUCCACGUGUAGCGGUGAAAUGCGUAGAGAUGU